AUCUGUUUGGGUUGGUACUACCUUUUCUGUUUCUGGUGCACCCACUUUGGAAACAAAAGUUGGUUUUCUGCGUUGUCUUUCCUAUGUACACACUCAGGGCUCUGAGAAUGAAUAAGGGGAAGAUUCACAUUCUGUUUUUGCUCGGUUAGCUACCGGGGUUUGCACAACCCUACCAUGGGGGUUAAACAUGGUAUUUGUCCUGAUAUGAUAAGAAAAGAUGUGA